CCCACUGAGCAAGGCCAGGGAUCGAACCCGCAACCUCAUGGUUUCUAGUUGGAUUUGUUAACCACUGUGCCACGACGGGAACUCCUUUUCUUUUUUUUUAAGAGCUGUACUUGUGCCGCAAGUACAGCCCUUAAAAAAAGUUCUCAGGCUAGGGGGUCGAAUUGGAGCCUACACUACAGCCACAGCAACACCAGAUGUCAGCUGAGUCUGUGACCUACACUGUAGCUCAUGGUAAUGCUGGAUCCUUAACCCACUGAGCAGGGCCAGGGAUCAAGCCUGAGUCCUCAUGCGUACUAGUUACUGCUGAGCCACAAUGGGAACUCUCAGUUUUCGGCUCUGCUCUCAAGGCACAGCCAAAGUCACCUCUCUGUUCUGGGCUGAAUUGUGUCUCCCCCAGAUCCUCAUAUUGAAGCCCUGAACCCCAGUACCUCAGAAUGUGACUGUGUUUGGAAAUAAGGUCUUUACAGAGGUGAUUCGGUGAAAAUGAGGUCUUAGGGCAGGCCCUAACCUAAUAUGAUUGGUGUCCUUAUAAGAAAAUUUUGAUCUCUGUCAAGACAUCAGAUAUGCAUACCCACAAGGAAAUGGCUUCUGUAAGGCAAGGGACAGGCCUUGGGAGAAACUAACUCUGCAGAUACCUUGACCUUGGCUUUUUAGCCUCCAGAACAGCAAAGAAAUAACAUUUCUGUUGUUUAAGCCAUGUAGUCUGUGCGCUCCCUAAAGCAUUUCUUGACACCCAGCUACACUCUCAGGAAGAACUAAUGCUUUUUCUUUGGUGCUCUCACCAGGUCACCUUUAUUGAACUGUUUUCCUGUUGGCCAUCCCUUCUGGGCCCCAAGUUCUGCAUUUGCAGCAUCUGGCACAGUGCUGGGCACAUCCUGAGCUUGAGAAAAGGUAGGUGAACCAAGAAAUGCAUGAAUGAAUGAACAAGGGGUCCGAUAAUGGCUUCUGGGUAGAUGGAUUCUUUGUGGAAGUUGGGAAAAGGCUGAGGGAUCCUGAGAUGGAGAGGAAUCUGAGAGAGGAGAAGGAUGCAGGAGUGGUGGUUGACUAGCCCCUCACCCCAUGCUGCCUCCUGCUGACUCACAUGUCUUGGAACUCCCGGGCUUUGCAGCCUCCUAUCCCGGGCCCCUGGCUCUCAGCCCUCCUUUCCGCCUGUCGGCCACUUAAUCACAUACAGAAGAAGUAAACUCCCCAAGGUCCCUGUUGUGUGGUCCUCUCCUCAAAGUCUGUUUCCCCACCUCGAUUUCUGGAAGUCCCUUUGGAGGAUCUGACAGACAGUCUCCCUUUCCCACCCCUCCAGCUGGACAGGCUCAGGAAACAGAAGGAGUUUUCUGGGAACAGACUGGAGAGGAGGAGCCAGUUAAAGUGACAAAAGGCACAAGUUUGAACUUCCUGUGUCCUGCGCCUGCUGCCGGAGCAGGGCUCUGAGCUGCCUCCAGAAUGGCCCACUGGUCAUGGGGGAAGUAAGAGAGAUUUGCUCACAGCAGGGCAUUUACUUAUAAGCUGGCCCACCCUGGGAUUUGGCCUCGAUGGUGGACAAUCUCCCUGCAUAAGGAAACCCUCUGCAGGGAACUCUUCCAAGGGAGAAGGAGACCAGCCAGACAAGCCUGGCCCGGGAUCAAAGCUCUGGGCCUCAGAGGGUGGGCUGAGUCGAGGAUGGGCUGGAUCUAACUUCUGGGUCAGCGCCAUGAGCAGCGCAGACCCGGCAUGACAGCGGGAUUGGGGGGGGGGGGGCAGCACCCCUCCUCGUUGGCUCUUGGAACCUGGCCUUUUGGGCACCUGCCUAGGAGGUGUCAGAAACCAGCAGAGGCCAUGUGUGUGUGGUGGCCGCAGGGCUGGUCAUGCUCCAGGGGGUGGGAGGAGGCCUGGGAGGUGGGGCUGGUUUCUCAGAGACCCAGGACACUUGUUUCAAAAUCGGACGGAAAAAAAAAUGAACUUCUAAGACACAAAAGGUCACAUGCUGCAUGAUUCCAUUUAUAUGAAAUAUCCAGAAUAGGAAAAUCCUAAGAGACAGAAGGUAAAUUAGUGGUUGCCAGAGUCUGGGGAGAAGGGGAGAGUGGGCAGCGAUUGCUAAUGUGUUUGGGGUAUCUUGUUGGGGUGAUUAAAAUGUCCUGAAUUAGAUUGUGGUGAAGGUGGCACAAUCUUGAGACUAUACUAAAAACCACUGAAUUGUAUAUUUUAAAGUGGUCUACUUUAUGGCAUGUGGAUUAUAUCUCAAUAAAGCUAGUUGUUUUUGUUUUGUUUUGUUUUGUUUUUGUUUUGUUUUGUUUUAAAGACUAGGGAGUUAGGGACAGAAAAAGAAAAGGAGAGAAUCAAGAACAUUAGCAUAAUGUGUAAUCUUUAGCCAAAUAAAUAAGAAAUGUGUUAAAACAGAAAAAAAGCGAGAUGAGGUUAUACUAAACUAAAAUUAGAAAACAGGUUUCAUCUGGUGUAUUGACUCUGUUCGUGGCUUUUUGGAGUGCUGAGCUAGAGGUUUUAAGGCUGCAUUUAGACUCAAAAAGAUCAAACAGUGUGAUCACUUAGUGAUGUCUGCUCGAGGCACAGGCGACUAAGGAGGAGGUGCAUGGGGCAAGUACCUGCCUUCCCUGCCUGCAACUGAUCUCAGCAGUCCCUCCCAGCUUUCACACUCCCAAGCCCGAAAUGUGGGCUACAGGGAUUGGGGUUAGAAGAGAAGGGAGGUAAGACCAAGGCAGUUGAGCAUCCAGCUAGACCCCACUACAUCUACACCUGCUGGGGCUUGCCUUCAUCUUCCCCACACCAGCUUCAUUCUUUUAAGGACCACCUCCCCUGAGAAUCUGCUGCCCAUCCCCUGCCCAAGUAAGGGUUCUCAAAGACAGCUUUUAACCAGCCACCACAGCUCUGCAGUCUUGCCGCCUCUUCCUUCCCCCCUUCUUUCCUUCCUUUCUUCCUUCCUCCCUCCUCCCCUUCCUCCCUCCUUCCUUCCCUCCCUUUCUUUCCCACACACUCAGCAUAAGAAAGGUCCAGAGAUCAAACAUGAUCCAUAACCCACUGCGCCGUGCCAGGGAUUGAACCCAUGCCACCACAGAGACAACCCUGUGUCCUUAACCUGAUGUGCCACAGCAGGAACUGCCAUACCACCUCUUUUUUAAUCCACCCACCUUUCCACUUUCACUGCAAGAGAGCGAACGCUCCUUGCAGAAUGGGCAGUUAGUUGAGCAAAGGGUUUAGACAAUCCUUUUCUGGCAGCCCAGACCCUCUCAUUAAAAUAUGUGCAUUGUCAGCACCCUUCUCUUUUUCCAGUGGAGCUUAGCAAUUAACACCCCCCCUCAUGAGUGUGUCAAGAGAUGUGUGCUCUGGGCAGCAAAGGAAAAUACAUUUGUCAUCCGAAUGACAGCCACAGCCAUCAAAGCCAUUUUUAUCCGGUGGCACUGGAGCUGGCCUUAUCCCUUCUGGGAAAAACAAUGAAUAUUAGAGGUUCUGUUUACCAAUAUGCACCUUUCGCUGAUUUCUCUCACUGUCUAGCAAUUUUUCAACAGGACAGCUUUCUUGGAAACUGUAUGCAGCCAAAAGAUGAUAAAAAUGUGGUAUCCAGAGAGACGCCUGGGGUUCUGUUUGUUUAACUGGGUAAUUGGGCGUAGAUUCUGAAAGGUCAUCUUCCUGUGUCCAGGUCACCACAGGUGCUGGUCUGGAAGGAGGCUCUCUGGUGAAACAGUCAGGCCUAAAAGCCCUCCUCCCACUCUUCACCAGUUUCCCAAAGGGCGACCUGCUAGGUCAGGUUUAUAAACCUGCUGCUGACCUUUAUGCAAGUAAGUCUUAAACUCACUGAUUCACACAGACCUUUCUAGAAAGUCAAGUGUGUGAGGCUUGUUUCCUCCAUCCCUUUGCUGUCUGGAGCCAAACCCACUUUCUGUCCCAGACUCACUAAUACACUUAAGCCCUAGCACUGCUAAUGAGAUCAGAAAGUGAUUAGCCACCAGUCCUCAGUGAUGGUUUCAGGCUAAGGAAAGAAAAUGCCCCCGUGACAAUCCACAGAUUUUUCUGAUCCUAUUUGUGCUCCUCUUUAUCAUUUCUGACAUUUUUAAAGGGCCUGUUGUCUCUACAGGAUUUUCUGCAGAGCCUCAUGGCAGGCCCUGCCCACAUGUAACUGUACAUGUGAUGCUUUGGAAAGCCCACGGGGACUAUUAUCAGAAACUGAGCUCAGGGGAAAGGCCCAGCCUUCCGGGUUUGCUACAGCUGAGAUUCUUUUGUGUGAGAACCAAAGAUUCUCUUUGCAGGAGACCACAUGGAGUGAGGGAAAAGCCAGACACACAAACUGGUUGGGUGUGAGUCUGUGGUGCUUACACCCCCCAUGCUGUGUGACUUUUGUAAACCACUUACCUUCUCUAAGCAGCCUUGUUUCUCACAUCUGUAAAAUGGGGAGGCCUCCUUUGUAGGCAGGAUUUUUAGCAGUGUCCAGAUGAAUGCAAAAGGGAGGCUACAUAAAAAAUUAGUAAUUAUUACUAAUUUCAUUUCUAAAGGUCACCCCUUCCUGAUGUUAAAAUAAGGACACUUUGGAUUCAAGAACUCAUUUCUAAAGUCUCUGAUGCUGAUGGGUCUGCCUCAAGGGACCCCCUCCCAGUGAGUGGGACAGUCAGCCCUCACCCCCAGAGGGAUACAGAAGGCUUUAAAAAUGAUAUUUUUCCAUUAAAAUGAUACUCUAUAACUCUGUUGGUUAUAACCUAGGCUAGGCUAGGUUAAAAAUAAAAAGAUUUUCUUCAACUGCAAAAUUUUUUUAAUUGAGAUGAAUUCACUUAACAUAAAAUUUAUCAUUUUAAAGAGUAUAAUCUAGUGCAUUUAAUACAUCUGCAAUGCUGCGCGACCAUCAUCUCCCUCUAAUUCAAAAACCUUUCCAUCACUCCCAAAGGAGAACUUGCACCCAUGAAACAGUCCCCGUGCCUUCUUUCACUUUGUAUAAUGUCUUCUAGAGUCAUCUGUGUGGGGAGUUCCCUCUGUGGCACAACAGGAUGUGUGGCAUCUGUGCAGGAGGAUGCAGGUUUGUUCCCUGGCCUAGCACAGUGGGUUAACAGAGUCAGCAUUGCCGAAGUUGUGGCAUAGGUUGCAACUGUGACUUGGAUAUGAUCCUUUGCCUGGGAGCUUCAUAUGCCACAGAGCGGCCCAAAAAAAAAAGAAAACAGCAACAAAAAAACCAAGAUUCAUUCAUGUCAUAGAAUGCAUCAGUACUUCAUUCCUUUUUAUGCCUGAGUGAUAUUGCAUCAUAUGGAUAUACCACAUUUCAUUUAUCCAUGCAUUGGUUGAUUCAUUGGUUGUUUCCACAUGAAUGAAUUUUUGUCUGGAAAUUUGUUUUCAUUUCUAUUGGGUUUAUAUGUGGGAGUGAAGUUGCUCAGUCCUAUGGUGACUCUCAGUUCAACUUUCUGAGGAACCACCACUAUUUUCCAAAGCAUUCCCACCAGCAGUGUGUGUGAGUUCCAGUUUCUCCUUAUCCUCGUCAGCACAUGUUAUUGUCUAUCUUUUUAUUAUAGCCAUCAUAGUGGGUGUGAUGGGGUAUCCAGCUCAUUUUAAGGAUGGAUAAGCUGGGGACCAGAGAGGAGAUAUGACUUGCACAGCCUCACGUGUUGCAGAGUUAGGCUCUGGACAGCAAAUCUCUUUAACUCCCUAUUUGAUGCUUAUUCUCAAUCAAAUGUCCUUUGUUUUUGAUGUUAAGAGAAAAGCAGAGUCAGACUUGUAGGGUAAUGCUAGAUCAGAGGCAGGCUCCCCUGACUAGUUAUUCCAAUAUAACUCCAGCAGUCCACCAAGAGGGGAGAAGAGAACCGUGGGCUAAACUGGGGAAGGGGUCGUGCCACCUAGUGAGCAGUCUAGCUGGGAUUUUCUAGGCCCCUGAAGGGCUAACUUUACUUUCUGAACUUUCCUUCGAUGGGAGAGAACUUUAGCAAUGACAUACGUCUGCUUCACCUACACAUUGAUUGAGAACAUAUUAGAUGCUAGAAUGUUAACAAUAGAGGUAGAUGCAGGACACAGGGGAGUACAGAUAAGGGGCACCAACUGGUCUGGAAAAGGGGGUUAAAAGCUGGGUAUUGGAGAGCUCCAAGUGAUGGUGAGAAGCUUACCAGGCCUGCUCUGCACACAGAGGUAGGUGAAUGUGCAAGCAACUUCUCUGGAUGGGUGAGAACAGCUAGAAAGUCACAUAGAACAUCUAGGAGCCCAGGGCUGAAACCUCUUGGAGCAUUUUGACAGAGCUUUGCACAGGUGAGAAACCAUUCUUGAGGGGAAGCCAAUCAGUUUCGUCGGCAAGGCAGCCUGUAUACUGCAAGCUGAAGUCUUUUGCACACGUAGUCAGAAGCGGAGUGAGAAAGGUCACCAUCAACUAGCUGAGCAAUAAUAUUCACAGCCACAAAUCAAGUUCUCGCCUUGCAUAUGUUCAGUAUACAAAGUGCUGGGGGAUCAGGCUGGCUGUGCGGGUCACACCACCUCCCCAUAAACUGUGUGAAUAUUAUUCUCAUUAGGUCCCCAAACAACCAUAC
rnacentral:lncRNA from 1 species